GCGUAUGUAUAUCCAUUUGUUUGGCACGACAAAAAACAUGUCACGCGAACGUGUCCACAAUUAGUAACGCUUUAUUAUUAUUAAGAAAAGUUUGGCCGAAGUUGCACGAAUGCAUACUCCGAUUUUGUUUUUAGAAUCGUAAUUAUGCCAUGCAAACGUGUCCACAAUCACGAUUGUACAUUAAACGUGCCUAAUGCAGAUUACUGAUAUCAUUUUUAAUAUCUAAGUCAUAGAAUUAAUACGAGGGUCAUGAAUGAUUAAAUUGUGAAUGGCACACCUCGGACUAUAUAAACUAAAUUUAAUUUUAGCAGGCCUAAAGGAUUUUCUACGAAUAUUCAUUAUUAAAAGCUCUUUUACAAAAUUUGUGAGGGCCAUUGGAGUUUAAUUAAGAUGGUACACCUCAAUAAUAAAAAUAAAAACUUGUAUCGAAAUAGGGCGAAUUAUGGAUGCUUAGAUUUAAACUAAAUCCAAUCUACAACUACUAAUUUACAGCAUGCAUGAGAUAAUUGCUAGGCACUAAACUAUUUUAACAAAGGCUUGGUCCAACAGAUAAGUCCCUUGAGCCAUGAAAAUUAGAGGACCAUGAAUAUGAAAAUCGAAAGGGGAACUGGGCCUCGGAAGCAAAUCCAAAAAUGAAAGAAAAGGGCCUGAGACAUACGAGCCUGGCCCAGUCUCAUUUGGGCCAUUUAACAGGCCUAGCCGCUUUUAAAGGAUGCCACUAAGCAUCUUUACCAUUCGGGAUACCUUAUUCAGCAGCGCUUCAAUUAUUUUGUAUGCCAUGAGUAAUUCAAACACUAAUCUAAACUAAUCUAAACCAAUUUCAACAAAUCAACUGGAAGAUGCUCAUCAUCUAAUCUAGAUCCAUACUAUAGAAAAUUCAAACACCAUAUACUCAACAACAUGAUUCUUUUUAUAGCAAAACCAAAAACCAACAUAAUAAGCUAAAUUUCUAAUCCAAACUUGAAAACGAUAUAUAGCAUCGAUAAUGUAAAUGAGCAAAAGCAGACAUAAUGUAAAGCUAACUCAAUACAAAAUUUAGACAAAACUUUAAGACCACAUGAAUGAACUUUCAGCAAAGCUAAUUUUCAUCCUUAAUUUUCCACACUUCAUUAUACUUAGUUAUAACAAUAUGAAACAUUCUCAAAAUCCAGCAAGUCCUAGUAAAUCCGUGUAAACUACUAUACAUGGAUUGGAUGAUGCUAAAUGACCAUUGACAUGAAUAUUGGAUUCAAGCUAAUGUCCUGAUUCAAAGUAUGUUCUAAAGAAAACAGAAGAGCUAACAAAAUAAAUUGCAUCUUAUUAUUACAAAAAACUAAAUAGAGCAUGUUAUACAUCUUCAUUUCCCAUUCAGAGUUUCAUUAGAGUACUUGAAUAUAACAAAUAGAAUAAAUUGAGUCCUGAAGUCAUCAGAGAUGAAAGCAAGAACAGAAAUCCAACAGCAACAACAUAGCUUCCACAAUUAUCUUUAAACUCAGAUAAACCCUUCAGCCCAAAGCAUCUUUUAACAAACUUGGACAGCUGGCUUUACCUCAUUGGUUUCAGCAUUUUGUGCUGACCAAAUGAGGCCAGUUGCCCCCUAUUCUAGAACCUUCCAACAUGGUCUUUAUCAUAUUAUAUUUACCCCUCAUUCAAACAGACCCCUUAAGUUUUUUUUUGUUCAAUUAAACCCUAGAAAUGUCUACUGAUUUACAAAUUAAAGCAAACAUACACAAGCAGGCCAAUUGUCAUGUCCAAGUGGCCUAAGAAAAACCCAAGUUAGGGUCAAAUGGCCCAAAUCAGGCCCAAACCCGAUGCAACCUAGGCUUCGGUUGAACAUGUCCUCCUUAAAAAACCCAAAACGCAAAAUCAAAGUAAAAUUGUACAAACUAAACUGGCAAAAACCAAUCAACUGACAACUAAACUCAAUUAGACUAUCCUAAGCCCGAUUAUAAUUAACCUAAACAUGCUAAAAAUGAACUAAGAUUUAUUUUAUCAUGCAACAGAACCAGUGAAGAAAACACAAUCAACAAACGUAAUAUGGGAAUAUCAGUGAUAAAAUCCAAUUGAUACUAAAAGAAAAAAUAAAGGGGGAAAAGAUGAGAUUUUACCUUGUUUAACUCAGAAGAACAAAUAUAAAGAACUUAAAGGGAAUUGACGAAUUCUAGUUGGACUCUGGCAAGCUUGUCUGAAUCUGAUGUCCUUGGAAUGACUUAAAACUAUCAUCACUAGUUGCUCUUGUUUAGAGCAAUAUAUUAAUGUAAGAUUUAGGUCAAAAUGAGUUGGAAAAGUACAAAAAUCAGAAAAGGACAAGGACAAGGAAAUUCGAGUUUGACUUUUUUUAGGUUUCAGAUCUGAAAUUACGUGAAUUUGGCUAGGAUUUAAUGAAAACCAAUGAUAGAUUUGGGAAGAAAGGGGGAUGAGUAUUUAAUGGUGUUAAUCUAGGGGUGUUUGGAGUGUCUUCGCUGCCGUGGGCAAUUUUCGGCGGGUGGUUGACGGCGGAAACGGUAAGGAUAUUAGGCGGCUAAGGUUUCUAUUAGGUUUGGGGUUAGAGAUUGAUUUGGGGGGGGG
rnacentral:lncRNA from 1 species